rnacentral:rRNA from 1 species
AGGGUUUGAUCCUGGCUCAGGACGAACGCUGACGGCGUGCCUAACACAUGCAAGUCGAAGAUAGCAAUAUCUUGGCGCACGGGUGAGUAACGCGUAGACAAUCUGCCCCCAUCUCUGACAUAACAUUGGGAAACUGGUGAUAAUAUCAGAUGAGGUGGAAACAUCAAAGUAUUUAUAUGGAUGGGGAUGAGUCUGCGUCUGAUUAGCUAGUUGGUAAGGUAACGGCUUACCAAGGCAACGAUCAGUAGCUGGUCUGAGAGGACGAUCAGCCACACUGGAACUGAGACACGGUCCAGACUCCUACGGGAGGCAGCAGUGAGGAAUUUUGCACAAUGGAGGUAACUCUGAUGCAGCGACGCCGUGUGUAGGAUGAAGGGGCUCUGCCCUGUAAACUACUGUCGGAUAGGAAUAAAAGUUGGGUUGCCCAACUGGGAAUGUACUAUCAAAGGAAGGAUCGGCUAACUACGUGCCAGCAGCCGCGGUAAUACGUAGGAUCCGAGCGUUGUCCGGAUUUACUGGGUAUAAAGGGUGCGUAGGCGGGUUUGUGCUUCAGAGGUUAAAGACCGCAGCUCAACUGCGGGAGUGCCUCUGAUAAGGCAAAUCUUGGAUAUGAGAGGGGUAGGUAGAAUUCCUGGUGUAGCGGUGAAAUGCGUAGAUAUCAGGAGGAAUACCAGUGGCGAAGGCGGCCUACUGGCUCAUAAUCGACGCUGAGGCACGAAAGCGUGGGGAUCAAACAGGAUUAGAUACCCUGGUAGUCCACGCCCUAAACGAUGUAUGCUUGGUGUUGGGGAGCAAUUCUCAGUGCCGUAGGAAAUCUGUUAAGCAUACCACCUGGGGAGUACGAUCGCAAGGUUGAAACUCAAAGGAAUUGACGGGGGCCCGCACAAGCGGAGGAUCAUGUGGUUUAAUUCGAUGCAACGCGAAGAACCUUACCCAGGCUUGAAGUGCAUUUGACUAUUGCAGAAAUGUAAUAUUUCUUCGGAACAGGUGCAGAGGUGCUGCAUGGCUGUCGUCAGCUCGUGCCGUGAGGUGUUGGGUUAAGUCCCGCAACGAGCGCAACCCUUAUCUUUAGUUGCCAUCGGGUCAUGCCGGGAACUCUAAAGAGACUGCCCACGCAAGUGGUGAGGAAGGUGGGGAUGACGUCAAGUCAUCAUGGCCCUUAUGUCUGGGGCUACACACGUGAUACAAUGGAUGGUACAGAAGGCGAAGCCGCGAGGCGGAGGAAAUCCCAAAAGCCAUUCUCAGUUCGGAUUGAAGUCUGCAACUCGACUUCAUGAAGGUGGAUUCGCUAGUAAUCGUGGAUCAGCAUGCCACGGUGAAUACGUUCCCGGGCCUUGUACACACCGCCCGUCAAGCCAUGGAAGUUGGGAGCGCCCAAAGUCGUAUUUUAAUGCGAUUAAGGCGAGUUCGAUAACUGGGGCUAAGUCGAAACAAGGUAGCCGUAUCGGAAGGUGCGGCUG